ACAGCCAUAGGGAUUAUUUCUAUCUUAGACUAUGUAUCCUGCUCUUCUGAGCAUGUGUGGAUGUUGUAACAGGUGCCUAUAAAGAAACUCCAUUUUGCUUAAAGUUGAGCCAGCUUUUACUAGGAGAGGAAGCUCUGCCUGUCAACUACCACUCCCUACUGGUGCUAGAAGAGGUUCUAGCAAUAGUAAACUUGUCUCUGAUAUAGACACUCACACUCAGGGUGGUCAUCCCAUUAAGUCAUCAUCUAGAAUGAACAUUUACAGACACAGCAGUGAACAGGAUCAGCCCAAGAAACAGUUUUCCACGAUGGGAAGCUCCCCGAGAAGGACGGCAUGGAGAUCUACUGCACCUGGGAAUGAGGAAGUUCCUUCCAGAGGCGGUUUUCCACCAUCGUUGAUUUUUACUGAAACCGUAUAAACUUUCUCUUCAAAGUUGGUGUGUUUCGUGGAGAGUUUUGCGUGGGUGCCUGUUGAAACAUACAGGUUGGAUGGUAGAUGAAAACGAAGACAAAAGCAAAAUCUACAGAUCUUGGAGGGUGACUGGAGUUCACUGGAACCACCAAUCCAGCUGCCUCAGGUCCACUGCCCUCUGGACCCUAAAAUGUCAAUUCACCAAUCAAUCCACUAAUCAUACUUAUUGAGCACUGGGUAAAGAGCAAGGUACUAA